UAUAAGUAUAUAAAGAAACUAUUAUAAAAUUAAUGCUAUGUGUCAAAGAGAAAAAUUUAUAGUAUAUAUAUAAGCUCUUAGGAAAAUCUGAUCCAAAACGAAGUGAAAUGAAAUAUCUUAGUAACUUCAGGAAAAAAAAUCAAAAGAGAUUCUGUGAUUAGCGUGAGUGAAAAUAGAAGAGCCUAAAAAGUAGAAUGGUCCAAAAAACUGUUUAAAUAGAAAGGGGAACCUUCCUCAAAGGCUAAAUAUGACACGUAAGCGAUAGUGAAAAGUACCGUGAGGGAACAAAAUAAAAAUAGUAGUUUUAUAAGCAGUUCGAUAAAAAGAACGUACCUUUUGCAUAAUGGGUCAUCAAGUUAACAUUAGACGCGAGCAUUGUGCGUAGUUAAACCGAACGUAAAAAUAACGUAAAAGUGUCUAAUGUUAGACCCGAAUAGCGGUGAUUUUACCACAGUCAGGAUUAUAAAAGUCCGAACGGGUGAUUGUUGCAUAAAUCUCCGAAGAACUGUGGUAGGUGUGGUGAAGAAAGACAACACUGACCGCCGUAGCUGGUUUUCUGCGAAACCUAUACUAGUAGGCAAUUUAAGUAAAAUCUUAGCAGGUACAGAAUUUAAUCUCGGACAAGACGUGUAAACGUUUUAUUUUGUACAAAUAGGGAGAUCUUAGCGAUUUUAUCUGUGAGUAUGUAUGCUCGGGACGGCAAAGAUAUAUCUUGAAUGAUCAGACAUAGAAUGAUAAGGUUGUAUGUCAAAAGGGAAACAGCCCAGAACAAUAAUUAAGGUUCCUAAAUUAUUAGUUAAGUGAAAUAAAGAGAGUUUUUAUUGAAGUCGACAAGGAGAUAGGCUUAGAAUCAGCCAUAAUUUAAUGAGUUCGUAACAGAGCGCUUGUUAAUCGAUAAUAGGCAUCUAAGAUUUAACGGAUCUAAACAAUAUACCGAAAUUUUGUCCAUAAUAUAUUGUAUUAAUAAUAUUUAAUAUAGUAUAAUGGGGUAGCAGAACGUUGAGUCUAAAAAGAAGGUUUUAUUUAUUAAAUAAAAUUUUGAAAUAACUCAAGUGAGAAUGGUGACAUGAGUAACUAAAAGAAAAGUUUUUGUUUUCCGCCUUAAGCUUAUGGUUAAAAUUAAGUAACGGCCUCUAAGUUUAUAUUAUCUAAAGAUUUAAAUGAUGAGAAAAUCUUUUUACUAAAAAACAACAUUUAAGCGUAAAAUGUGCAGGAAAAAGUAGUAAAGUAAAUAACCGUACCUAGAAUCUGAAACAAGUAAGCAAGUAGAGAAUACGAAGGCGUAAAUGAGCUAACAAUCAUAAAGGAACUCGGCAAAAUGACUACUGUAACUUCGGGAGAAAGAGGGCUACAAAAAUAAAUACCGGUAGUUGAGCUACUAUGGGUUUAUACAAUAGGAAGAGGCAUAGAAUAGUGCUGUACGACUGUUUAAUUAAAACACAGCACUUUGCUUAAGAUAAAAAAAAAUCUACGUAUAAAGUGUGAGAUCUGCCCAGUGCCGGCAGGUUAACUGAAAUAAUUUAGUAGUACUAAUACUAGAUAUUGAAGGACACCCCGGUUAAAGGCGGCCUUAACGUGAGGGUUCGUAAAAGGGUCCUAUUUAAAUUCGGCUAAUUGCUGGAACGGCUAUAAAUAUAUAGCUCAAAAAAGCUUACUUGCAAAAGUAAGCACUAGAGAACUACAUACUAGCUCCAAUCAGCAGGAAAGAUUAAAUAAAUAAAUUCAGGAUGAGAAUUACAAAUUUUGAUUAGGAGGAUUUGUGGAAGGAGAGUAAAAAAUACUAAAUGGUUUAACUUUACAGCCUGAAACUGGUAUAGCGAUACUACAAAGCUAUUUUUGAAGAUAAAGGUUCAGGUUCUAUUCGCUAAAAGGAACUAAAAACAUACAAUUUCGAAAAGUAUGUAAUUCUAGUAAGUUUUCUCUUAUUAUUAAUAAAUUAAAUGAUAAUAGAAAUAGUACUAUUAGUAGAGAAGAAAUAAUUAAUUUAAUUGAAUUAGUUUACUCAUAUAAUCCAGAUACAAAAGGUAAACCUAGAAAAAGAACACUACAAGAAACUAUAGACAUAGUUAACCAGAAUAGUACGAAUUUGGAGUUAAAUUUUAUUUAAAAUCUUCAGAGGCCAUACGCCGAACAGUUUACCUGUCUAAGCAAUGCUUAGGCGGAAAUUAUUAUACAUCCUUCUGUGUUACAUCAGAAUAUAAUAAUACUAAAGUUGUAAAUUGAUGAUAUGGUCCAUCCGGAUUUCAUUCCGGUUGCCUAAGGUAGCAAAAUGCCUUGGCCGUUAAAUGCGGUCUUGCAUGAAUGGUGCAACGAUACAGCAGCUGUCUCUAUGAUUGGCUCAGUGAAAUUGGAAUAGCAGUACUAAUGUAUUUUUGUGCUGUGUUGGUGAAAAUCCAACUCUACAAAAUUAGAGUAAUUUAUUCUCCAAUCUUUGCUUAUGGUAAACGUUUAUUACCGUAUCCGCUUAUCUCGAAAAGAAAAAUGUAUAAAAAGUAUCAAAUAUUACUCUACUUUAUGCACACCCCGCUUACCCUGCUUUGCACCUCGGCCUCAGCCCACAUCUUUAGAUGUAGGGGUUGUGGAGUUUUUCCAAUGGUUUGUGGGGUUUGCGGAUGCGGAAAGUAAUAGUACCGAAAGGCUCCGCCGAAUAUUAACAAAUUCUCUUUAAAAUAAGUUUAAAUAAAGAUGAAUGUAAAAAGAGGAUAUUUAUAAGUUAAUGUCUAUUUUUGACAAGUACCCGCUUAACACUAGCAAAUAUUUUGACUACCUUGAUUUUCAAAAAUAUUAUAAAAGAGAGAGUUCAGUAACACAAGAGUUAAAAAACGGAAUGAACACAAUGCGUACUGAACAGCAAUUUAAUAUGCUUAACACUAAUCAUAAGAUUAUUGGGGCUAAUAGAGGGGGUCAGCUAUGGAGAACCUGUCUUGUCUUAUCUGAAAGACAACUUGGAAAAAAUAUUUGAUUAAAUUCGUCAUCUUAAAUCAUCAAAAUGCAAGAGGCAAUAGUAAAGCUAGCGUGUUACUUAUAAUUAAAAAUAUUCACAUUUUACAUAACUAUUUCAUUCCUUUUUUUGAUGAAGGAGCAAAUCUUUAAUUUUAAAGUUAUCUUUAACAAUUAGCAGCAGCCAUGACAAUUUCGGAGAGAUAUGCUCUUAGUGAUGGUAGACAAAGAGAUAUUAUAACUAAAAAAAUUAUACAUCAACAUGUGUAUAUGAAAUAGUUAUAGUGCAAACUUUAUCAGAUGCUGCUCAAAUAGUGGGCGUACUUAAUAAAACUUUAAGUAAACAUUUGGAUGAAGUAGUUAAAAUUAAAGGUUGCACGAUUAAAAGGGUUAUAAAAAGUAAAGAUGGAGAUUUAGUGAAAAAGGUUAUAACCGAAAGCGUUCAAAGCCAUUCUGCAUUGUAUGCAUAAGCUAUAGUGUUGUGGCUGGCUUUGGACAGUUUUGUAGAAAAAUUAAGUGAAAACGGUUAACGAUAUCCUGAUCAAAGACCGUCGGCAGUUAUAAAUGUCGCUACUGACUGGUUCACUAGGGUUAGACUGAAAUGUCUGUCCAAAUGUACAGUCGAGUUAUGUAACGAGGUAAGACUCGUAAGGGGGGAAGGAUUAUCUUGGUAUUGUACGAUAAAGAUAGCCAUGUAUACAAUGGUAAAAACUCCUAGUCAUAACUGGCAGAUACUGCUUACCUCUAGAUAGACGAGAAGACCCUAUGCAGCUUUACUGUUACUAUUUAUGGAGUAUGAUCGAAAAUUCACAGUUUAUAAUAAGGUAAUUGACAAUUUGCAAAUGAGAAUCCUUUAUUUAUCUUUCAUAUGAAUGAAUAAGAUUUAGUAUUAUAUUAAAUCAACCUAAUUCAACUUACUAUUAAAAGUAAGCGACCUUAGGUCAAGGGACUAUGACUAGUAGACAGUUUAUGUGGGGCACAGACCCUGUAAAGAGUAAACAGGAGUAUCUAAAAAAAAAAAUAAUCAAAAAGAUUAUUUAGUUUGCAAUUAAAGGUAGUUUGACUAUUUAUAAUCAUAUUGUACUUAUGGCAUAGGCAUAUAAAUUAAGGUAGGAUUUUAACUAAGAGGGAAUUAGAGAUAAUAGAAAAUAUCGUAAACAAGGAUAUUUUCAAGCUAUUAAAAAAAAAAUAGUUAUGUAUUGAAUAUCUAAAAAGCUUAACGGCUAAAUCUUGCCUGACUGUUUGAUUAUCUACACAUCUUACAGUUGCGUAAGCAGGGCAUAGGAUCACUAGAUGCAAUAAGGAAAGAUCUAGGAUUCUUGGAAAAGUUACGCUAGGGAUAACAGGCUAAUUUGCGCAAGAGUGUACAAAAUGAGUGCGCGGUUUGGCACCUCGAUGUCGGCUUAACUAAUCCUCAUGGAUGCAAGUACUAUGUAGGGUGCGACUGUUCGUCGCUUAAAAAGUUACACGAGCUGGGUUAAAUACGUCGUGAGACAGUAUGGUUUCUAUCUUCUAGGGGGAAUUAGAAUAAAAUAAGAACAAACUUUUGUACGCAAGGAACAAGACGAUUUUAACUCAAAAGGUUAAAAAGGGGUUUAUUAACCAAUGGUAUCUCUGUUGUUUAUGUGUUAAAGUGUUUCUUUCACUAAGACAAAUACAUCAUAAGCACGGCAGAAAGGCUAAGUUAGUUAAAGAUAAGUGCUGAAAGCAUAUAGGCACGAAGCUUAUCUUAAGAUAUUUCUUAAAUAUACGUAAUAUACUAUUACGAAAAUAAAUAGGCUUUUAUCUGUAAUAAUCAGUAGAUUUUUAAGAAUAAAGUACUAAUUUAAUAAUACACUAUUUAUAUAUAUAUC
rnacentral:rRNA from 1 species